AUAAUAUUCUCAACUGUUUAUAGAUCUGAUCGAAUAUGGUUCAGUGAGCACAGACGGCAUUUAUUCACAAGCAAGCUAUUAAAGAAGAUCAAGUUAUUAGGAUAAUUCCACACAUGAUGGGGAGGUGGAAAUCCUGAAGAAUCUCUAUGCACAGCUGGAGGCAAACGGGAUGGGACAAAUACAGCGGUUCCGGAUAAUUUUCCUUUAAGGUCUCACUGAACCGACACAUUUCAAUUGAAAGCCGGUUAAACUUAAAUCGCACAAUUAGGUUGUGCAGUGUGUAUAAUCUCCACAGUGCUUUCAAUUAAAAAUGAAUGGUCGCCUUUUAAUCUGUAGACAGGUGAGUUUCACGUGGCCGAUGCAGAUCCACAUUAUAAACACAUAAGCAUAACAAUAGUGUGUAACAGUGUAAUAAUGUUGUGAUGGUACAGCCCCCAGCCAAGGCUAUAACCCUAUUAGAAAAUGUACACAAGUGGGUAGUAUAUAGGCUAGCUUAAACAAAUCCUAAACAUUGAAGUGCUUAGUUUAACAGAUUGUUUUAGAUUGAUCACAAGUAGAACCUGGGCCCGGUUCAAGCAGUUGUGGCAUUUCAAUGCUGGUUGCAACGGUGUAUUACUUCAAGAGUUUUAUACAGUACCUUUGCAAGUUGUGUGCACUCCAAGGUUAGCCAAUUAACUUACAAGCACAAAUAAUCAAUGAGUGUUUAUUUACCAAGUAUAGCACUGCAAGUUGGAACAGGAUAAAGCCCUAUUUGGCAUUCAGCUGAACCAAACUGAGCCUGAGGCAUUGCAUUUUAUGAUCUAUUGGCACAACCCUGCGCUACUCUGCGACAUGUCCUCCAGAUUGCUUCUGUCAGCAAGUCCCUGCUGGAGCAUUUUCCCAAAAUACCCAGCUUUGUUGCCCCCAGUCCCUGUUCUGCAAAUGGUUGAUGUCUCUCGUGGGACGGAUUCCAAGGUUAUUAAAGACACACCAAGGACAGA